rnacentral:rRNA from 1 species
AUGGCUCAGGAUGAACGCAGCUACAGGCUUAACACAUGCAAGUCAGGGGCAGCAUGGGAGUUGCUUGCAACUCUGAUGGCGACCGGCGCACGGGUGAGUAACGCGUAUCCAACCUUCCCCAUAGUAGGGGAUAGCCCGGCGAAAGUCGGAUUAAUACCCUAUGUUCUUCAAUGCAGACAUCCAAUUUGAAGCAAAGGUUCACCGCUAUGGGAUGGGGAUGCGUCUGAUUAGCUUGUCGGCGGGGUAACGGCCCACCGAGGCGACGAUCAGUAGGGGUUCUGAGAGGAAGGUCCCCCACACUGGUACUGAGACACGGACCAGACUCCUACGGGAGGCAGCAGUGAGGAAUAUUGGUCAAUGGGCGCGAGCCUGAACCAGCCAAGUAGCGUGCAGGAAGGACUGCCCUAUGGGUUGUAAACUGCUUUUAUGCGGGGAUAAAGUGUGCCACUUGUGGUGUUUUGCAUGUACCGCAUGAAUAAGGACCGGCUAAUUCCGUGCCAGCCGCAGC